AUUAUAGUUCUGUGUAUACCCAACGCCACGAUAUCCCCAAUGCCACAACCUUCUUCUUCACUGGAAAACCUUCUUCUUCUGCAAGAAUCUUCUCCUUCCUCUUCAAAAUCGCCGAUUCCCCCAUCUCCCUCUCUCUAAAAAAUCCGAUACCCCCAUCCCUCUCUCCGAUGCCCUGAAAAACUCUCAGUCCUCUUUUAAUUUAGAUUUUUCUGAGGUUUAGUUUGAUUAAGUGCAGAAUGAAUCUGAGAAACUAAGAUUUUGUGCAAAGGGUUUGUAUCCUUUGAAGGGCUUAGGUAAACUUGUUGUGCAAAGGUUACAAAUGAAGAUCGGAGAAACAAUUUGAAGACCCAAAUACUAAGAUUUGAAGUGUGGGAACCAAAUUCCGACUUCAAACAAAGAUUCCUAAACUAUUGUGUGCAGGUCAACUUUUGGGUUAAACUUUGAGUGUGUUGAUCAAAUUUGAUAAUGAGUAUUUGAUGUUAGUUGUUGCUGUUGAGUAGUAGAAAUCGUUCCCUCUUUCUUUUGGUGAAAUUUGUUUGUAAAUCACACUUUUUUGAUUCAAUUCAUAUGCAUAUAUUCAUGACAGAAUGGUUGAAGAAAUUUCCGGCAUUCAUAUCAAGGGAACUGUGAGAUAUUUAUGCAUGUUACUGAGAUUUAAGAUGUGCAGUUAUGAUAUGACAAUGUUCUUGCUUCUAAGAUGAGUACAAGUGUUAUAAAGUGGUAUUGAUCUAUGAAAGGCGCUUCAAUUUAAACCUUCCGGAGGUUCAGAAAGCGUCUUUCAUGCAAUUAGGACCAACUUGCCUUAUAGCUGGUCGAUACAACAUUGUGCUAAAUUACGGUGAUACAGAUAGAAAUAUUAAUAUUCUUCCAUUGCUCAAAACGAUAAUCCAGAACGACAUUCCUAUUUUAGUUUUCAGUUGCAAAUCGAGCAAGCUUCAAUUGAAGUAAAAAAAGGGCAGCCCGUUGCACUAAGCUCCCGCUAUGCGCAAGCUCCGGGGAAGAGCCGGCAUUAAAGUAAGCUUUGUGCUUGCCUACUUAUGUGUCUGUUCAAGGUUAGUGUGCAAUAACUAUCACUAAUUUUAAUUUGCCAGUAAUAUUCUUAAAAUAAAGAGAUCAAAUUUUGUCAUGGAAAUGGGAUGAGAAGACUCUAAAAAAUUAAAGUGACAAAAUGUGAAUUUCACUUAAAGAUGUUAAUAUGCUGAUGAAUCCACAUAAAUUUUUUUGUCAAAUACUACAGAAAAGAAGACUUAUAAUAGCGAAGGUUUAUGGAAUGACCAACUUUCAAAUGGGAUGCAUCACGUUUGUCCAAGAUGUAAACAGUUUUCCCAAGGAAGCAUUUGCAUUGCAUAUUUAAGAAGGAAAAGAAGAAAAUAAAGAAAAGAAAAGAUUGUUGGGUAGGUAUCAGUUGGGUAUCUUAUGUAUGAAAUGUUACAACUGGUCAACUCAAUCGAAGUCCAACUUUUCAACUAGCUAAUUUUACCAGAUGAAGAUGCUAAAUAUUUUGGAAUUUUAUCCAAACGUGGCCUGAAGCUGAAGCAGGUUCUUUGUCUGCUUUUGAUCUGGUGGAGUAAAUCAAAAAAUCAAAGAAGAUGAUGAAAGUGAAGAACUAGACCGUACUUGAGAUGAAAUUUGAAUUGCUAUAGAUGAAUGUCCUAUAGGAAUCUUUUGUUAUCAACCUUUUUGAAAGUAAUUACUCUCUUAAAAUGUAUUAAACUUGUGCAUUUGGGGUAGAACAUUUGCUUUAUGGAUACUAUUUGCUUGAUGGAUAAUUUAUAUUAUUAAAAGUUUCAUUUUAUGAUU